rnacentral:rRNA from 1 species
AGUGAACGCUGGCGGUAGGCCUAACACAUGCAAGUCGAACGGCAGCACAGUAAGAGCUUGCUCUUACGGGUGGCGAGUGGCGGACGGGUGAGGAAUACAUCGGAAUCUACUUUUUCGUGGGGGAUAACGUAGGGAAACUUACGCUAAUACCGCAUACGACCUACGGGUGAAAGCAGGGGAUCUUCGGACCUUGCGCGAUUGAAUGAGCCGAUGUCGGAUUAGCUAGUUGGCGGGGUAAAGGCCCACCAAGGCGACGAUCCGUAGCUGGUCCGAGAGGAUGAUCAGCCACACUGGAACUGAGACACGGUCCAGACUCCUACGGGAGGCAGCAGUGGGGAAUAUUGGACAAUGGGCGCAAGCCUGACCCAGCCAUACCGCGUGGGUGAAGAAGGCCUUCGGGUUGUAAAGCCCUUUUGUUGGGAAAGAAAAGCAGCAGGUUAAUACCCCGCUGUUCUGACGGUACCCAAAGAAUAAGCACCGGCUAACCUCGUG